GAUGAACGCUGGCGGCGUGCCUAAUACAUGCAAGUCGAACGAACAGACCAGGAGCUUGCUCCUCUGACGUUAUCGGCGGACGGAUGAGUCACACGGGGUUAACCUACCUAUAAGACUGGGAUAACUUCGGGAAACCGGAUCUAAUACCCGAUAAUAUAUUGAACCUCGUUGUUCAAUAGUUAGAUACGGUUUUUCUUUCGCUUAUAGAUGGCUCAGCGCCUCAUUCGCUAGUUGGUAAGGUAACGGGUUACCAAGGCCAGGAUGGGUAGCCGACCUGAGCGGGAGGUUGGCCAGCCGGGAACUGAGACACGGCCGAGACACCUACACGAGGAAGCGGUAGAGAAUCUUACGCAAUGCAGCAAAGGUUGACGGUGGACCGCGGCCUGAGGCAUGAACGUCUAAGGCCGCGAAAACUAUGUUAUCCGGGAAGAACAAAUGCGUAAGUAACCAUGAACAUAUUGACGGUACCUAAACAGAAAGCUACGGCUAACUACGUG
rnacentral:rRNA from 1 species